rnacentral:rRNA from 1 species
GAUGAACGCUGGCGGCGUGCCUAAUACAUGCAAGUCGAGCGAACAGGCGAGGAGCUUGCUCCUCUGACGUUAGCGGCGGACGGGUGAGUAACACGUGGAUAACCUACCUAUAAGACUGGGAUAACUUCGGGAAACCGGAGCUAAUACCGGAUAAUAUAUUGAACCGCAUGGUUCAAUAGUGAAAGACGGUUUUGCUGUCACUUAUAGAUGGAUCCGCGCCGCAUUAGCUAGUUGGUGAGGUAACGGCUUACCAAGGCAACGAUGCGUAGCCGACCUGAGAGGGUGAUCGGCCACACUGGAACUGAGACACGGUCCAGACUCCUACGGGAGGCAGCAGUAGGGAAUCUUCCGCAAUGGGCGAAAGCCUGACGGAGCAACGCCGCGUGAGUGAUGAAGGUCUUCGGAUCGUAAAACUCUGUUAUUAGGGAAGAACAAAUGUGUAAGUAACUAUGCACGUCUUGACGGUACCUAAUCAGAAAGCCACGGCUAACUACGUG